GAUGAACGCUGGCGGCGUGCCUAAUACAUGCAAGUCGAGCGAACGGACGAGAAGCUUGCUUUUCUGAUGUUAGCGGCGGACGGGGGAGUAACACGUGGAUAACCUACCUAUAAGACUGGGAUAACUUCGGGAAACCGGAGCUAAUACCGGAUAAUAUUUUGAACCGCAUGGUUCAAAAGUGAAAGACGGUCUUGCUGUCACUUAUAGAUGGAUCCGCGCUGCAUUAGCUAGUUGGUAAGGUAACGGCUUACCAAGGCAACGAUGCAUAGCCGACCUGAGAGGGUGAUCGGCCACACUGGAACUGAGACACGGUCCAGACUCCUACGGGAGGCAGCAGUAGGGAAUCUUCCGCAAUGGGCGAAAGCCUGACGGAGCAACGCCGCGUGAGUGAUGAAGGUCUUCGGAUCGUAAAACUCUGUUAUUAGGGGAGAACAUAUGUGUAAGUAACUGUGCACAUCUUGACGGUACCUAAUCAGAAAGCCACGGCUAACUACGUG
rnacentral:rRNA from 1 species